GCUGUUGGACCUGGAUUUCUUGAGCGAUCUCUCUUCUUCUUCUUCAUUAAUCAGUUCUCUCUCUCGGCACACCUCCAGAAGAAUCGAGAUCGAUCUCUAGACCUUUUCCUUUUCCCCUCUCUUAUCCUUCUGCUUUUGCAUGCUUUUGCUCUCUCGCUUUCUCUCUCAAUCUGAUAUUGCUGUGUUGGUUUUGGAACGAACGGGUCUUCAAUUUCUGGCUAUCGACUUCAGUGAUUGGUUUCGAGAGGAACAACCUGGUGAUUCUUUGCUUUUGAUGUGCGAAUUUGGAUGUGCAUGUGCAAAUUUGGAUUUGAAUCCUCCCUUUCUUCUCACUAUCUGAUUUGAUUUCACUCAAAUUGAUCUGACGUUUUUGAGGGAUUAGGCUCUUUCUGUCUGUCUCAGUUACCUUCAUCAUCCGAAAAAUCCGUUUGGAGAGCUUCGAGUUGGGGGAUUCCACCGCUUCGUUCUCACUUCAAGCUUCCGAGAGAAAGAAAUCAUCGUCCGCCUCUGCCUCCGCUUCCGUCUCCGUCUCCGCCUCCGUUUCUGCCUCCGUCUCCGGUUCUGUCAUCACUUUCUUUCAUGAUUCAUUCAUUGAAUUUUUUAUUAGGUUGGAGGUCGGUGAGGUUAGGGAAUCCCGAGACGCCGCGAAGCUGGGGUUUAGGGUUUCAGAGAUAUAGCCGGAUCUGUGGCCGAUCAGUGAGUUAGGGUUUUAGCAAAGAGUUUUCAAAUUCGUGUAGUGCGAUUGCAUGCUUUGAGAGUUGGAGGAAGCAAUGGCGAGUUCGUAUCCUGUACCUGCUAAUGUUGUUCAGAUUUGGUCAAAGCUUCUUGAGGAUGAUCAAUUCGUAAGAUUUCUUUUGGUUAAAGUCCAAAGUCUAGGAAGGAGAGAGAGAGCUCUGUUCCCACUUUCGUUUCUAUGUUUGAUAUGAUUUUGGAGGCAGACUGGUGACUACAAGGUUGAACAUAACAUAUGAGGAUUGGUACAACUGAGUUUGAGGAUGACUUACAGUGAGGAUGAGGAAGUUAAUGAAAGCAGAAUAGUGACUGAUACAAGAGCAGGAGAUGAAGAGAAGUUCAGCAACUUUGAAGCAGAGUUAACAGAAGCCUAGAGGGACCAGAAGGUGUCCAAAGUGCUCGGAUGUCUUCAAGGAACUUAGUGAUGAACUACUAUUAAAACCAUGAGAAAUCAAUGCAACACUAGGAAGUAGAAUUUUCAAAUCAGUGUCAUUUAUAUAUCCUAUUUUGUUGAUGUAGUUUCUAUACAGAUUAUCAUCCUUGCCAUAUG